UACGUAGGGUGCGAGCGUUAAUCGGAAUUACUGGGCGUAAAGCGUGCGCAGGCGGGCUUUUAAGCCAGACGUGAAAUCCCCGGGCUUAACCUGGGAAUGGCGUUUGGGACUGGGAGUCUGGAGUGCGGCAGAGGAGACUGGAAUUCCUGGUGUAGCAGUGAAAUGCGUAGAUAUCAGGAGGAACACCAAUUGCGAAGGCAGCUCGCUGGGACGUUACUGACGCUGAGACGCGAAAGCGUGGGGAGCAAACAGG
rnacentral:rRNA from 1 species